UACGGGGGGGGCAAGCGUUGUUCGGAAUUAUUGGGCGUAAAGAGCUCGUAGGCGGUUUGUUGCGUCGGCUGUGAAAUCCCGAGGCUCAACCUCGGGUCUGCAGUCGAUACGAGCAAACUAGAGUGUUGCAGGGGAGACUGGAAUUCCUGGUGUAGCGGUGAAAUGCGCAGAGAUCAGGCGGAACACCCGUGGCGAAGGCGGCCAGCUGGGCCGUCCCUGACGCUGAGGCGCGAAGGCGUGGGGAGCGAACGGG
rnacentral:rRNA from 1 species